UACGGGGGGGGCAAGCGUUGUUCGGAAUUACUGGGCGUAAAGGGCUCGUAGGCGGCCAACUAAGUCGGAUGUGAAAUCCCCAGGCUUAACCUGGGAACUGCAUCCGAUACUGGAUGGCUUGAAUCCGGGAGAGGGAUGCAGAAUUCCAGGUGUAGCGGUGAAAUGCGUAGAUAUCAGGAGGAACACCGGUGGCGAAGGCGGGUCUCUGGGCAGUAACUGACGCUGAGGAGCGAAAGCGUGGGGAGCAAACGGG
rnacentral:rRNA from 1 species